AGAUAUACCCUCACCAUCCACGCCUCAGAAACCAAUUACAACAACAGUAAUUCCGACAAACAGGCCAACCGAUCUAGAAUUCGCAAAGCAACGAGGUCGUCAAAAAGAUCCGGACUUCAGCACGAACGAGAUAUUCUUUCCUGAAACCACAAAAGAACGAGAUUUACGACUUCGUAGCAACCCAAGUGACCCUAGCAGCCAAGAACUCGACGCUAUAGACGACUUUACGUUUCCUUCGUCUUCGAAUCGGCAAAAAGAAGCUUAUACAUUUCUGUACUUAACUACCAUAUUAACCUUAUGUAAAUAGUACAUUGUGUUAUUUUGGCCAUAGUUUAGGGGUGUGCAUUAUUUCACUUGGGAGAUGUACAGAAAUUCUGAGUAAUGGUACAAUAAUUAAUGUUUUAAGUUUUCUAAACGUUUAAAACUAUAUCAGUCUCCGAUAUUACAAUAAAUUGGAAGAAUAAUUCUCGAUAAUGUAAAAAAUUGUAUGUAUCGUUAACGUUAAGAGAUGCUUUAGCUAUAAAUGUAAUUUACCCUUUCCUUAAUUUUUGUAAAGAAAGUAUACAUAGCUUGAAUCUAAGACUGAUACUUAUAUUUUUGUUGUAUAAAAUAUCUGCUCGUAUUCUCUAAUAGAUUCUACAUAAUUUUAAGUUAAAUAAGUGAAGUCAU